CUCAGUUCGGAUUGGAGCUGCAACCCGACUCCAUGAAGCUGGAUUCGCUAGUAAUCGCGCAUCAGCCACGGCGCGGUGAAUACGUUCCCGGGCCUUGUACACACCGCCCCGUCAAGCCAUGGAAGCCGGGAGUGCCUGAAGUACGCGACCGCAAGGAGCGUCCUAAGGUAAAACCGGUGACUGGGGCUAAGUCGUAACAAGGUAGC
rnacentral:rRNA from 1 species